GUGGUGGCUGGGGGUGUUGAUACCCGCAGGCAGUCCUCGGUUGCCCAGGAAACAGAUGGCGGAUGAAGGGCGGACAUACAAAAGAGCACAAACCUGUAGCAGCAGCUGGGGAGCGGCUCCACUGACUUAUUCAUGUCGACGCAGCCUCUCGCAGCCAAGACGGUCUUUUGUUUCGGGACUUAUCCACAUUAUCCAGUGCUCCUAACUGGGUUGUGCGCAGCUGCUCCCGGCACUCCCACUUGAGCUUGCAGCAGCUCUGCAGCUGAACACUAUGUAGGAGCGACCAUCUCGCUCUUUUACUGCAGGAAACAACAUGGUGCCUGUUUGUCAUGUUGGCUGCUUUAGUGAGAGAUCUAAUACAAUCACGCCGACGUUGUGGGAGAUGUGCAACCUGCAGAUGACUGGAAGUAGUGUGCUGGGAUUUACUGGAUUCAACCUCAAGGACUGUCCACCUGACACCAAUUCAGGCCACUGGAACAGCAGCUGGACAGGUUAUGUGCUCAAGACUAUAUUUUCUAAUUACACCCAAGAGAGGGGCUCUUUUGAUAUUGUGCAAUAUUUGUUUAUUCAAAUCAAUGUGAAAUAUUU